CCGGCCACCGUGCGCGGUGGUUGCGGCGGUGGCUCCGGUGGGCUAUGGAGAUGAUUCAACUUCCAGAGGCUUCCUCGUAAAUUUGUGGAAUUUUUGAGACACAGAUAAACUUCGGGUGAUCAAGGUCAGCUAUUUUUCUGCAUCCAGCAGCCACAAUAGUCAUCGGUGUACUGCCACAGGAGGAGUUAUUUUACAGAGCAACCUGUUUUCUUCCUCACAGGUUUAACGUCGAUUAUUUAAUUGUUUUACUAUCUUUUCUAAAUUUAAAAUCUAGAACUCCGCAUGUGUUAGUAAUAUUGUGGGCCUUGUUAGAAAUUGUGUUAAUUUAAAAUUUUGAGAUUAAUAAAUGAAGAUUUGUAUGGUAUUUAAACAGUUUGUAAAUGAGGUAACAGGGUUGAGCUGGGCUCCCCUAAUUUUAGUUUUCUGAAAAUUUCUGAGCUAAGUCGGCCUGAAAUGAAAUUAUAACAGUUUGAUUUAGAUUAUUUUAUAUGCAUAUUGGGCCUAAAUUAUGGGCCUGGUUAUGGAUUUGAGGAAUAGUU